UACGUAGGGUGCAAGCGUUGUCCGGAAUUACUGGGCGUAAAGAGCUCGUAGGUGGUUUGUCGCGUUGUUCGUGAAAACUCACAGCUCAACUGUGGGCGUGCGGGCGAUACGGGCAGACUUGAGUACUGCAGGGGAGACUGGAAUUCCUGGUGUAGCGGUGGAAUGCGCAGAUAUCAGGAGGAACACCGAUGGCGAAGGCAGGUCUCUGGGCAUUACCUGACGCUGAGGAGCGAAAGUGUGGGGAGCGAACAGG
rnacentral:rRNA from 1 species